rnacentral:misc_RNA from 1 species
UUGCAUACCACUUUGCUCAAGUCAUUUAUGUUCAUAGCUACAACAGUAGUCUACGGAAGCAACAUGAUAGUUCCUCUAUGCCAUCUCAAGUGCCUAGCUCAUCUUUCAACACUCCUCUAAAGGGAUACCAAGCUUCAGCGUCAAAUCAAUUUCCCGGAUACAGCAUGGAUGGGAUCAGAGGUGUAGAUAAGAUGGUCUUGGACUACUUGCAACAACCGUCAUGCCUUG